AAAUAAAAUAAAAUAAAUAUAAAUAUAAAAGUAGACAGUUCGAUUCGAUUUAGCGAAUGGCUCAUUAAAUCAGUUAUAGUUUGUUUGAUGAUACCUACUACUCAGAUAACCAUAGUAAUUUUAGAGCUGAUACGUGUAAUAAACCUCGACUUUUGGAAGGGAUGCAUUUAUUAGAUAAAAGGCUGACGCGAGCUCUGCUGGUUGCUCUGAUGAUUCAUGAUAACUCAACGGAUCGCAUAUCCAUCAUGCUGGCAACACAUCAUUCAAAUAUCUACCCUAUACUCUUUCGAUGGUAGGAUAGUGGCCUACCAUGGUGGUGACGGGUGAUAGAGAAUUAGGGUUUGAUUCAAGAGAAGAAACCUGAGAUACAACUACCAUUUCCAAGGAAGGUAGCAUGCGUGCAAAUUACCCAAUCCUGACAUGGGGAGGUAGUGACAAUAAAUAACAAUACCGGACUCAUAAAGUCUAGUAAUUGGAAUGAGUACAAUCUCAAUGCCUUAACGAGGAUCCAUUGGAGGGCAAGUCGGGGUGCUAGCAGCCACGGUAAUUUCAGUUCCAAUAGAGUAUAUUUAAGUUGUUGCAGUUAAAAAGCUUGUAGGUAAACCUUGGGUUGGGUCGACCGGUCCACCUCUGGUGUGCAUCGGUUGGCCGGUCCCUU
rnacentral:rRNA from 1 species